UACGAAGGGUGCAAACGUUGCUCGGAAUCACUGGGCGUAAAGCGCACGUAGGCGGAUAUUUAAGUCGGUGGUGAAAUCCUGGAGCUCAACUCCAGAACUGCCUCCGAUACUGAAUGUCUCCGAGUCCGGGAGAGGCGAGUGGAACUGCGAGUGUAGAGGUGAAAUUCGUAGAUAUUCGCAAGAACACCAGUGGCGAAGGCGGCUCACUGGCCCGGUACUGACGCUGAGGUGCGAAAGCGUGGGGAGCAAACAGG
rnacentral:rRNA from 1 species